CUCUCCCCAAUCAUUUCAGACCUGAAAUUGAGAAAAGCAGCAGCGCUGCUGUUUUUGUUUACGUGAUAUGAUAUUCAAGAAAUAGAGAGAAGAUUUGAAGACAGGGAGAAGAUGAUGAAUCGAACUUCAGUUUGGAUGAUUUAUCAAAAGAAGAAGGAGAAAUUAACAAGAAACCUGCUGAAAAUGAUGAAGUAUCGAUCUAUGAAGGAGUAUGAUAAAAUGAAGAAUUAGGUCGCGGAUAUGAAGAAUCAAACGAUGGGUUAAUGGCAGAAAUUGAACCUAGGGAGAUGUUGUUAUUGUGCGGCUGUAAUGGAAUCAGAGAUGGGUUAGAUGGAGGAAGAAGAUAUGGUGCUGUGGUUUUUCCGGGGACAAGAAGAAUGAAGUUGCUGGUGGAUUCGAGAAUUACUGGGUUAGUUACUUUUGUUGGUGGUAAACAGAAGAAUGAUGAAUCGAGAUGAUGAUGGUUGAAAUUGAUUUGGGUUUGAACACAGAGCAGACGGGGUUUGAAUUGAUUUCUGUUUAAUCGAGAAAAGAGAUGGAGGUGCUGAUUAGGUUUUGCUGUGAUGGAGAAAUUGAACAGAGAAAUGGGUUGGUGACGAAUUGAUUUUUUUUAUUGUUGUUGAUUUACCGGCAGAGAAUUAGGAAGAGCCGGUGAUGAUGUGAAGCCCUAUUGUUGAAUGAAGUGAAGCAUGGAACAACGACUUGAAAUAAAUAGAUGUAUGUGUUAGGAAUGAUAGAGGGAGAAGAAUUUGGCCUGAGAAAUGCUCAAUAAACAGCCGAAACUUGGUCGGAUAUUUUUCCUAAUGAGUCAACUCGUACUGGCGAUGAUUUGAUUCUUGGGUGAGCCUGAUGACCGAUCCAUCCAUAAUUCAGCUGAAUAAGACCCAGUCAGUCGAGUUAGGUUAGCUGACCAGGGAGCUGACUUAGUGACUGAAGCUUGAAUUUUGACUCAUCUGGCUAACAAAGACCGUUACCUAUAAGGCUGCACAAGAACCAGUCACUUGGCCCUGUACCGGACUAGAACCGGAAAAAUCGGACCGGAACCGGUGUAGGCGGUACAGGGACUGAAUAUGAGAACCGGUAUAGGACUGGAUACAGGGAACGGUUCUUGGAGAAGUACCGGUCUGUACCGGCUUGAAAGUCCCGGUUAAUAAGAGUCGUUGAUUAUAAUUUAUGGAUUGAUCUUAACCAUCCAUUUUAGGCUAGGUUUAUAAGAAAAUUUCCGAUCUGCUUCUCAUUUUUAUUUUUAUUUUCACUUUCAGUUUUAGUUCUUCUUCACUACGAAGAAGAAUCUCACGAUUCUCACCAUCGCCUUCUUCCCUUCUACUGAAGAGUCUCACCAUCCUUCUUUACUUCUUAUUUCUACAUCUUAUUUUGUUCUUCUUCUCUGUUCACCUCUUCUUCUACGUUCUUCUUCUUCAUCUGGUUUAGGGUUCUUAUGUUUUUCAUCUGCUACUGCUAGCUACUAAGAAACUAAUUGCAAGUAAUUGUGUUCCAUUGAAAUAUUGAUUUGGUGAAGACGUGACAGCAACCGGUGGAAACAAAUUAAUUGGAAAGUGUAAAUGGGUCUGGUAGAGUUUGAGCUGGAGAACUUGAAUUGGUGAUGGUCUGUUAGUUGCUGAUACAAGUAACUGGUGGUAGUAUACUGCUCGAAUUACAGAAGAAGAGGGUUGGGUUUGAGCUGAACUUGAAGAAGAGAACAUGAAGAAGGUUGCUGUUGAAGGAGGGAUUAAAUAGGCACUGGUGGUUGGUUUCUAUUGCAGUGAUGGAGAUUUAAACGGUUUGUGAAUGUAUGCUUUACAAGGAAAGACCAUGAGGCAGUGAAUGAAAGAAUGAAGUUGAAGUGUAAUGAGUUGUAGGUAAUGGUGUUGAUGCUGUGUUGUUAAUGGAGGACAUCAAGAUAAUAACUGGUGGUAUUGGCUGUGAGUUAUUGAAGCAACAGAGGUGAAUGGGUCAGAUGCAACUGUUGUGCAGGCAAUAAGUUACAGAAGGAGUUGGAGGUAAUGGUGAACUUGACUUGCAUAUGGUGCUGAUUUUGGUAUUUAGAGAAUGGUGUUGGUGGAUGGAUUGUUAGAGCAGGUAGAAUGAGUGGGUUGGUGCAGCGAAGCAGCUGCAGCUAUUGCUUGAACUGGUUAUUACGAUUUGAAUUGAUUUUGACUUAGUUUUAGGCGAGAAAAACCAUGGAGAAGAUUGAUGUUUCUUCCAUUGGUUUGUAUAAUUGAAUGAAUGCUUGUUAACUGAUACCCAGAACUAUGGAAUUACAAAAAAAUUUGGUUAGCUGCAA